UGGGGAAUAUUGGACAAUGGGCGAAAGCCUGAUCCAGCCAUGCCGCGUGUGUGAAGAAGGUCUUCGGAUUGUAAAGCACUUUAAGUUGGGAGGAAGGGCAGUAAGCGAAUACCUUGCUGUUUUGACGUUACCGACAGAAUAAGCACCGGCUAACUCUGUGCCAGCAGCCGCGGUAAUACAGAGGGUGCAAGCGUUAAUCGGAAUUACUGGGCGUAAAGCGCGCGUAGGUGGUUCGUUAAGUUGAAUGUGAAAGCCCCGGGCUCAACCUGGGAACUGCAUCCAAAACUGGCGGGCUAGAGUAGGGCAGAGGGUGGUGGAAUUUCAUGUGUAGCGGUGAAAUGCGUAGAUAUAGGAAGGAACACCAGUGGCGAAGGCGACCACCUGGGCUCAUACUGACACUGAGGUGCGAAAGCGUGGGGAGCAAACAGG
rnacentral:rRNA from 1 species